AGCACAUAUUAAACAUAAUCCUUACACAAUUGGUACUUAGGUACAGCAAAAAUAAUUGAAUUAACUGUAAAUACAUGUUUUUUAUUUAUUUAUUUUCAGUCCACAGGAAGUCCGGAGAGGAUGGUUGCAGUGUUGAUAUGGAGCUGACAUCUUUGCUCGGCUGCACUGUUGGAUAACCUAGCAAGCUAGCGCUAAACGGAUUUAACAGAGGGUAAAUAGAUGUGUUAACUCACAAAUUGAGCUUUAUAGAAAACGACAGGCUAUGGCAUUGACAUUUUUCAGAUAAUAAACCACUUCCAGGGAUAAAAUGUCGGCGUUGCUGUUGCAGCAUCGUAGUGGUUUUUGUAGAAAAUACAGUACAGGGUUAUUGUGGACACUGUCAAGGCGAAACUCUCACCUACUAUCACACAAGCCUUCAUCCAGCAAUAGUGUUCAAAAUGUGCUGCUCAGGUGUGCUAAUGUCAGAAAGGUACUUCUUUCAAAAUCGAAUCGGACACUUACAAGUGAACCACAGAAACUCAUUCAGAGCUCUCCUCACACAGACCCUUGGGACCUGCA